rnacentral:lncRNA from 1 species
CAGACUGAAAACAAAAAGCCUGACAUCAAAGGUGUGUGGAAGCCCGGGAGGUUCUUGAGGUAGGAGCUUAGAUUAUUGACAUAAGACUGUUCCUCCUUCACAUGAAAUGUUUACGGAACAACUCGUCUGGGCCACCACUCCCCAGGCUCUGGGGCCAAGCACAGUUUAACAAUGUGCCUCAAACAGUAACUCUCAGCGUCCAAAACCACCACCACCUUGCAUGUGUUCUUGAUUACUGUGGUGGAUUAAGGAUGGCCGCAAAUUCUUUGACAAUCCCUUCAUCAAGAGACGGGAUCUAUUUCCCUUGCCCUUUCUUCUGGGCUGGCCUGUGAUUGUUUUGACAAACAACUUAUGGGAGAAGUGAUGUGCAUAACCUCCCCCCACAGCAUCUUGCCCCUGAACCCAAGGGGUCGAGACUCUGGUAAUGGAUGCUCCAUCUGACGGCCUGGUCCCUGAGGGGUGCCAUGAUGCAUUGUCUAGUCACUGAGGGUAUUUAAAUUAUUCAAUUUGAACCGUCCUCCUCGUGGAAGAGAUUAAAUCCCAACAAGCAGAAAGAUGUGUGAGAAGCAGGGGAGCAAAAAUCUGUCAACAGG